GCACAGCGAGGUGAGAGGCGCACGCCACGGCUGACAACUUUCCCCCUGCGCGUCCAGGGCCAUGCGCGGAUCCGGAUGUUGGCUGCAAGCUAGGCUCUUGGAGAAGGGGGCGCAUGUGGUCAAUGAACGGGGGACUGCGCCGGCCUCUCCCCGAGACCAUGUAUCCUAGGAAAGUUGCCCUGGCUCUGGGCCUCGGAUUUCCUCACCCAAGCAGAGAAAAGAGAGCAGGACCUGAGGCCAGUGGUGGCCAGGUGGCACCCGAGGAGACCACGAUGCUUGAUGCCAGGCUGAGCGGCCGGUUCGGUUCCAGAGCCUGGGAGGUUCUGUUUUGAGCUCUGGAAGGGACAAGAAGGAAAGAUGCCCUUCAACGCAGAGGACCUCGGAGAGGCAGGGUUCUAGAUCCCCUCCUGGAAAGGAGGCUUUACAAGGACCCGUGGGAAUGUAGGGCUACAGAAGAGGAGAAAUGUGCCUACAGAAGAGGAGGGAUUCUGCGGUGAGAUGACUGGGUUCAACAUGGCAAGUGUCUGUUGGAAUUUAGAGGGCUUACAUCGUGGGAGGUAUGGCUGGGUGCAGAAGUGACCUUGGGCUAUAGGGCAGAAGGCCUGUCUACUCCGUCCUCAGACCCAGCAGUGUGCCCCAAAGUGUGCCAACACCCCUGAGCCUGCUUUAUCUGUAAAAGAAGUAAAGCAACCACCCUGGUGAGGGUGACAUAAAGGCUAGAGUUCACUGAGCUCCAAGAAGAGAGACUUAAAGAAGACAUCCCAGUUAGGACUGAAUGUUCCAAGGUCUCUCACUGUCUGCACAUUGUCCAGUUGUGAGUCUCUAUAUUUGUUCCCUUCGACUGCAGGAAGAAGCUUUUCUGAUGAUAGCUGAGCAAGUCACUGAUCUAUGAGUAUAGCAGAUAGGGGUCAUUUUAUUGUUCUAUUUCUUUUUCCUCCUCUUCUUUUUCCUCCUCCUCCUCCUCCUCUUCUUCUUCUUAUUAUUUGGGUUUUUUGAGACAGGGCUUCUUUAUGUAAACUUGAGUGUCCUAGAACUACCUACAUAGACCAGACUGGCCUUGAACUCACAGAGUUCUGCCUACCUCUGCCUCCCAAGUGCUAAGAUUAAAGGCAUAUGCUGCACAUACCACCAUCA